UAGGGAUUCUUCGGCAAUGGACGAAAGUCUGACCGAGCAACGCCGCGUGAGUGAAGAAGGUUUUCGGAUCGUCAACCUCUGUUGUUAGAGAAGAACAAGGACGUUAGUAACUGAACGUCCCCUGACGGUAUCUAACCAGAAAGCCACGGCUAACUACGUGCCAGCCGCCGCGGUCAUACGUAGGUGGCAAGCGUUGUCCGGAUUUAUUGGGCGUAAAGCGAGCGCAGGCGGUUUCUUAAGUCUGAUGUGAAAGCCCCCGGCUCAACCUGGGAACUGCAUCUGAUACGGGCAAGCUGCAGUCUCGUAGAGGGGGGUAGAAUGCCAGGGGGAGCGGUGAAAUGCGAGAAGAUCUGAAGGAAGACCGGUGGCGAAGGCGGCCCCCUGGACAAAGACUGAUGCUCAGGUGCGAAAGCGGGGGGAGCGAACAGG
rnacentral:rRNA from 1 species